rnacentral:misc_RNA from 1 species
UUGAAUUAAAUGUGGAGUUGGUUGUAGCUGGCCCCCCUUGAAUUAAUUUUUUGGGGGCGCAUGUGCACACCUUCUCUUUCAUCCACACACACCUGUGCACCUGUGAGACAGAUGGUUUGGGGACUUUAUUGGACCCCCUCUGUCUACUUAAUUCACACAAACUCAAUUUAUUUAAAAUGAAUGUAAUUGAUGUAACGCAUCUAAUAC